UGGGGAAUUGUUCGCAAUGGGCGCAAGCCUGACGACGCAACGCCGCGUGGAGGAUGAAGAUUUUCGGAUCGUAAACUCCUUUCGAUCGAGACGAAUUGCCCUUGGGUUAAUAGCCUGAGGGAAUGACGGUACCGAGAGAAGAAGCCCCGGCUAACUCCGUGCCAGCAGCCGCGGUAAUACGGGGGGGGCAAGCGUUGUUCGGAAUUACUGGGCGUAAAGGGCUCGUAGGUGGCCAACUAAGUCAACCGUGAAAUCCCUCGGCUUAACCGGGGAACUGCGUUUGAUACUGGAUGGCUUGAGUUUGGGAGAGGGAUGCGGAAUUCCAGGUGUAGCGGUGAAAUGCGUAGAUAUCUGGAGGAACACCGGUGGCGAAGGCGGCAUCCUGGACCAAUACUGACGCUGAGGAGCGAAAGCUAGGGGAGCAAACGG
rnacentral:rRNA from 1 species